AGUGAACGCUGGCGGUAGGCCUAACACAUGCAAGUCGAACGGCAGCACAGUAAGAGCUUGCUCUUACGGGUGACGAGUGGCGGACGGGUGAGGAAUACAUCGGAAUCUACUUUUUCGUGGGGGAUAACGUAGGGAAGCUUACGCUAAUACCGCAUACGACCUACGGGUGAAAGCAGGGGAUCUUCGGACCUUGCGCGAUUGAAUGAGCCGAUGUCGGAUUAGCUAGUUGGCGGGGUAAAGGCCCACCAAGGCGACGAUCCGUAGCUGGUCUGAGAGGAUGAUCAGCCACACUGGAACUGAGACACGGUCCAGACUCCUACGGGAGGCAGCAGUGGGGAAUAUUGGACAAUGGGCGCAAGCCUGAUCCAGCCAUACCGCGUGGGUGAAGAAGGCCUUCGGGUUGUAAAGCCCUUUUGUUGGGAAAGAAAAGCAGCAGGUUAAUACCCCGCUGUUCUGACGGUACCCAAAGAAUAAGCACCGGCUAACUUCGUG
rnacentral:rRNA from 1 species